CCUACGGGAGGCAGCAGUGGGGAAUAUUGCACAAUGGGGGAAACCCUGAUGCAGCGACGCCGCGUGAGUGAUGAAGGUCUUCGGAUCGGAAACCUCUGUCAGCAGGGAAGAACGGUCACUGUGCUAAUCAGCAGUGAAUUGACGGUACCUGCAAAGGAAGCACCGGCUAACUCCGUGCCAGCAGCCGCGGUAAUACGGAGGGGGCGAGCGUUAAUCGGAAUUAGUGGGCGUAAAGCGCUCGUAGGCGGUAUGUCAAGUCAAGGGUGAAGUCCCCGCGCACAACGUGGGAACGGCCUUGGAAACUGGCAAACUGGAGUGUGUGAGAGGAUAGUGGAAUGCCAGGUGUAGGGGUGAAAUCCGGAGAUAUCUGGAGGAACAUCGGUGGCGAAGGCGACUAUCUGGCACAUAACUGACGCUGAGGAGCGAAAGCGUGGGUAGCAAACAGGAUUAGAUACCCGUGUAGUC
rnacentral:rRNA from 1 species